UUGUUCCCCUGUAUGAGUUUAUUCAUCUUUCUGUUCAGUAUUUGUCUUUCCUUUACUUCCUGUUUUAGUUAAAGUUUAGUUUUCUGUUCUCUAAUCCAGAUUCAAUCCCUGUUUUUCCCUCCUGUUUGAUUGGCAGCCCCACCCUAACUGUUUCCACCUGUGUUAAUUAAUUUCAGAUGCUGCUUGUUCCUGUGUAUAUAAAUUCCUCUGUUCCUCUUUCAGACAUCUGUUAUUCUCCUUCUGUGAUCUCUAUCCCUCUCUUGAUCUUUAUAAUUGCUUUAUUUGGAUAUAAACAUAAUCUUAUUCUGGAAUAUCCUGCUACACACUGGAAUAUUCUCCCAUGUUGCUUGUCUGUGGUUUAAUAUGUUAUGGUGUGAUGAUAUCUGUGCAUUCUUUUUCUCCUGAAUUACCAUUUUGUGUUACACAUUUCACUGUUUUUCCUUUUGCUGCCUGACCUGUCCCCACUGUGAUGUUUGUGUGUUGUAUGUACGGUCGGCAAGGUCUGUCAUCUCGAUUGUGGGCAACUGUAACUGACAAAUAAAGGUUAUCUCAUCAUCUCAUCUCAUCUUCCUGUCUCCUCAAUCUGAGCCCUCACCUCUACUUCAAAACUACUUGUGACAGAAACGUCUCAGGCUGGAAGAGAAACAGAAGAAGAGCUGAAAGAAGUCGUCUCCAGACGCCGGGUGGCCUGUGACCCGGAAGUACCUCCGCGCGGGAGCUACCGCGGUGAUGCGGCGCACAGUCGUUUCUAAUUAUCCGCCAUCUUGUGAGGGCUAUUUAACCACGGAGCUGGGUGACAGUCGGCGUGGGAAUAUUCUCCAAGCCUGGAUAACGGACGGAGAGGAAAUCAUUGGGGAAAGAAGUCACGAGCACAGAUUCACCUUGAAGGAAGACACGGACGCACUAUCACGCACAGCUUGGGACACGGGGAGAAACACACGAAGGACGACUUGCACACUGAACUGUUGUUUGAACCCUUUCUCACUGUAAAUAAAUGCACUGCCUAUUCAUUCCACAAGCUCCACUUUUGGGUCCCUCAUUCUACUAACCGUGACUACAACUGUCACCACAGGGGGCAGCAUACAGCUUUAGUGUAGGUGUCCAUCCCUAAAAGAAGAAACAGGAACAUUCAUGAAGUAACAACCUGCUUCUGUCUGGAUUCACAGAGGGAGGAACUUUAACGUAGCAGCAUUCAGAGAGCAGUAAGGCUGUAAACUCCACAAUGUGGAGACAGAAAUUGAUCUGUUGUAACCUCUGUGUAAAGCUCAGCACUGUUCUCAUGUUCAAGUAAUUUGGAUUUUUCCUUAAAGAUUUUUUUGUUUGUUUUUUACAGACCUUCAAACACACAAGAAAAAUAGGCUGAAGUGUGGACUUACCACAGAAGUAUUAUUAAAAUGGUCAUUGAUGCUUUUUCCUCAUUUUAAGCCCA